AAAAUAGUAACACAAGUGGAAUAUAAAUUUGCAAUGCCCACGAUUUUCUCCCUCUCUAAUAACGAGACCUGUAUAGACGGGGAAAUAUUUCAGAAAUGAUAUUACUGUAAACUUAAAGCGUAGUAAGCUUUGUAUAUAUAUUCAGUUUUAUAUGUUAAAAAUAUUAAUAAUUCGUUGUUUUAGCAAAAAAUCCUUUUAGAAUAUCUUUGAAAAAAUAUUUAGAUAUUUUGAGAUUUUAAUUAUUACAUUGAAUCGAAUAAAUCAAAAAUUUAAACACUGAGAGCCUUCUUUUAUAAAUAUGACGAGGUAAAAUUAAAGCCGAAGAGUCCCAAUCUUAGAGAAUGACCUUCACUUGCAUCGGUUGCUUGCCCAAAAAGCAUUUUACUUCAGCCUUAAAUUAAGUGAAAAUUGCAGUCGGAGCGAAAGGAAAUGAAGUCGUACGCCACAGAGAUAGCUGUAAAUGCGAGCCUAUCAAAGCCAUUAGCUGAGCACUUGCCGCCUUAUCAAAGCUGGCGCCAGGUGGAAAGGGUCAAGGGUCAGCGCUUAGACGCACGCCUACAACAAGAUUAGAGCAACAAAUAGCAAAUGAUGGACUAGCAGAUGCUCUAUUAACAGGCCAGCAAACCUCGAAUAAUAUACGAAAAACAAGAGUUAUAACAUUUUGAAAAUAGAAAAUCUAAUGGAUAUAAGUUUUUA